rfam:Ricinus communis ctg_1100012359049, whole genome shotgun sequence.
GCCUAUGAUGAAUUAAUCCGAAUUAUUAUAGGUGUAGUGGAGCCAAGCCCCUGCUUGUCAGGGAGAACCUACUUGGCAGAAGCUACAUUACAAUGACAUCAAUGGAUUUUACUGAGGC